CCUACGGGUGGCAGCAGUAGGGAAUAUUGCUCAAUGGGGGAAACUCUGAAGCAGCCAAGUAGCGUGGAGGAUGACGGUUUUCUGAUUGUUAACUCCUUUUUUUAGAGAAGUUAAUGACGGUACCUAACGAAUUAGCACCGGCUAACUCCGUGCAAGCAGCCGCGGUAAUACGGAGGGUGCCAGCGUUACUCGGAAUCACUGGGCGUAAAGCGCGAGUAGGUGGGAUAGCAAGUCAGAUGUGAAAUCCUAUGGCUUAACCAUAGAACUGCAUUUGAAACUGGUAUUCUAGAGUAUGGUAGAGGUAGGUGGAAUUCUUGGUGUAGCGGUAAAAUGCGUAGAGAUCAAGAGGAAUACUCAUUGCGAAGGCGACCUGCUAGAACAUAACUGACGCUGAUGCGCGAAAGUGUGGGUAGCAAACAGGAUUAGAUACCCUAGUAGUC
rnacentral:rRNA from 1 species